UACGGAAGGCGGCAGUGGGGAAUAUUGCACAAUGGGCGAAAGCCUGAUGCAGCUAUGCCGCGUGUAUGAAGAAGGCCUUAGGGUUGUAAAGUACUUUCAUCGGGGAGGAAAAACAAAACUAAUAAUUUUAUUUCUUGACGUUACCCGAAAAAGAAGCACCGGCUAACUCCGUGCCAGCAGCCGCGGUAAUACGGAGGGUGCUAGCGUUAAUCAGAAUUACUGGGCGUAAAGAGCACGUAGGUGGUUUUUUUAAGUCAGAUGUGAAAUCCCUGGGCUUAACCUAGGAACUGCAUUUUGAAACUGAAAUACUAGAGUAUCGUAGAGGGAGGUAGAAUUCUAGGUGUAGCGGUGAAAUGCGUAGAUAUCUGGAGGAAUACCUGUGGCGAAAGCGGCCUCCUAAACGAAUACUGACACUGAGGGUGCGAAAGCGUGGGGAGCAAACAGGGAUUAGAUACC
rnacentral:rRNA from 1 species